GAUGAACGCUGGCGGUGUGCCUAAUACAUGCAAGUCGAGCGAACAGACGAGGAGCUUACUCCUCUGACGUUAGCGGCGGACGGGUGAGUAACACGUGGAUAACCUACCUAUAAGACUGGGAUAACUUCGGGAAACCGGAGCUAAUACCGGAUAACAUGUUGAACCGCAUGGUUCAACAGUGAAAGACGGUCUUGCUGUCACUUAUAGAUGGAUCCGCGUCGCAUUAGCUAGUUGGUAAGGUAACGGCUUACCAAGGCAACGAUGCGUAGCCGACCUGAGAGGGUGAUCGGCCACACUGGAACUGAGACACGGUCCAGACUCCUACGGGAGGCAGCAGUAGGGAAUCUUCCGCAAUGGGCGAAAGCCUGACGGAGCAACGCCGCGUGAGUGAAGAAGGUCUUCGGAUCGUAAAACUCUGUUAUUAGGGAAGAACAAAUGUGUAGGUAACUAUGCACGUCUUGACGGUACCUAAUCAGAAAGCCACGGCUAACUACGUG
rnacentral:rRNA from 1 species